GACAGAGGUCCCAAGCGUUAGGCGGAAUCACUGGGCUUAAAGCGUGUGUAGGCGGAUCCGUAAGUACCUUGUGAAAUCCCACGGCUCAACCGUGGAACUGCUGGGUAUACUGCGGGUCUUGAGCCACCUAGGGGCGAGCGGAACAAGUGGUGGAGCGGUGAAAUGCGUAGAUAUCAAGAGGAACACCUGAGGUGAAGACGGGUUGCUGGGCCAACACUGACGCUGAGGCGCGAAAGCCAGGGGAGCAAACGGG
rnacentral:rRNA from 1 species